UCGUUGGCUUGCAAAAAUACGACCGGUGCACACGUAACAGAACGCUGCCGGGGCGGCGCGCCGCCCCGGCUCAUCGGCCCGGCCCUCGCGCCUUCGGGGUGUGUUGGUCGUGCUGAAUUCGGCGCGGGUUGACGCCAAGGAACACGUGGUGCGGAGGCAGCUGGCGGCGUGCUUUGGCGGGCCGCCUGUCGCCGAUGCGAAGGAACAC
rnacentral:misc_RNA from 1 species